UACGAAGGGGGCUAGCGUUGCUCGGAAUUACUGGGCGUAAAGCGCACGUAGGCGGUCUUUUAAGUCGGGGGUGAAAUCCUGGAGCUCAACUCCAGAACUGCCUUCGAUACUGGAAGACUUGAGUCCGGGAGAGGUGAGUGGAACUGCGAGUGUAGAGGUGAAAUUCGUAGAUAUUCGCAAGAGCACCAGUGGCGAAGGCGGCUCACUGGCCCGGUACUGACGCUGAGGUGCGAAAGCGUGGGGAGCAAACAGG
rnacentral:rRNA from 1 species